UUGAGCAUCACGUGACAAUCUGAGCUUCCUGGAAGCAUCAAAACAAAGCGGUUAAUCUUCACAAUUCAUCUGUUAAUCUUGAAAAUGUAUCUUUAUAUCAGAAAAUCCGGCAUAAAAUCAUUUAAUUAUGUCAGAUACUGACAAUAAAAUCCCAAGCAAUUAUACAACCGACCAGUUGCAACUAGCAGUGCAAUGCAAGCUAUAAUGUUACCCUUUGGCUGGCUGCCCAGGAAAGAAAUACAUGUAUUAGUCCAUCAAGUCUCUGGUGAUCAGUGCACAAUGGUAGCAGAGUGGAUUCCAGCUAUGAUUAAAUUUUAGCAGGUGUCCAUGGGCAGCAAUGAACACUAAAGUUGGGGGUUUCUCUGUCCACAUCAGCAAAUGACACAUCCACCUUUCUCCUUGAAUGGGUUCUUCUCCUCUGGAAUGCCUUUGACCAAAGGAUCCUCAUCUGCUCCAGCCUGAAUGUACUCUGAAAUCUCUUCACAGCAUUUGGACACCUGACGAAAAAAAAAAAAUAAUAAUUGAAGUGACAAUCAAACAAAAAUGAGCAUACCAACAAUGCCCAACCAGCUUGGAUGUAGUCCAUUUUGUGUACUUGGGUCAUGAGUAGAUUUCAACGCUUACCUGCGCCCUUUCAAGCUUCACUUCAGUUUUGAGCUGGGUUACUUCCAUUUUAGCCUUAUCCAGAUCUGUCAGCUCUUCUACAUUUAUGACCGGCAUUGUCUGAGAAACCAAAUCAAAUGAUCACAUCACAUGUGGUAGGGUAUUUAUGUUUGAGAUAUUUAAUUAUACAAUAUACUGCUGAUGACCAGACUUACUGCCG